rnacentral:rRNA from 1 species
UUCCCUCGCGAUGCUCUAGAUUAGAGUUUGAUCCUGGCUCAGAUUGAACGCUGGCGGCAGGCCUAACACAUGCAAGUCGAACGGUAGCACAGAGAGCUUGCUCUCGGGUGACGAGUGGCGGACGGGUGAGUAAUGUCUGGGAAACUGCCUGAUGGAGGGGGAUAACUACUGGAAACGGUAGCUAAUACCGCAUAAUGUCGCAAGACCAAAGAGGGGGACCUUCGGGCCUCUUGCCAUCAGAUGUGCCCAGAUGGGAUUAGCUAGUAGGUGGGGUAACGGCUCACCUAGGCGACGAUCCCUAGCUGGUCUGAGAGGAUGACCAGCCACACUGGAACUGAGACACGGUCCAGACUCCUACGGGAGGCAGCAGUGGGGAAUAUUGCACAAUGGGCGCAAGCCUGAUGCAGCCAUGCCGCGUGUAUGAAGAAGGCCUUCGGGUUGUAAAGUACUUUCAGCGGGGAGGAAGGUGUUGUGGUUAAUAACCACAGCAAUUGACGUUACCCGCAGAAGAAGCACCGGCUAACUCCGUGCCAGCAGCCGCGGUAAUACGGAGGGUGCAAGCGUUAAUCGGAAUUACUGGGCGUAAAGCGCACGCAGGCGGUCUGUCAAGUCGGAUGUGAAAUCCCCGGGCUCAACCUGGGAACUGCAUUCGAAACUGGCAGGCUAGAGUCUUGUAGAGGGGGGUAGAAUUCCAGGUGUAGCGGUGAAAUGCGUAGAGAUCUGGAGGAAUACCGGUGGCGAAGGCGGCCCCCUGGACAAAGACUGACGCUCAGGUGCGAAAGCGUGGGGAGCAAACAGGAUUAGAUACCCUGGUAGUCCACGCCGUAAACGAUGUCGAUUUGGAGGUUGUGCCCUUGAGGCGUGGCUUCCGGAGCUAACGCGUUAAAUCGACCGCCUGGGGAGUACGGCCGCAAGGUUAAAACUCAAAUGAAUUGACGGGGGCCCGCACAAGCGGUGGAGCAUGUGGUUUAAUUCGAUGCAACGCGAAGAACCUUACCUGGUCUUGACAUCCACAGAACUUAGCAGAGAUGCUUUGGUGCCUUCGGGAACUGUGAGACAGGUGCUGCAUGGCUGUCGUCAGCUCGUGUUGUGAAAUGUUGGGUUAAGUCCCGCAACGAGCGCAACCCUUAUCCUUUGUUGCCAGCGGUUAGGCCGGGAACUCAAAGGAGACUGCCAGUGAUAAACUGGAGGAAGGUGGGGAUGACGUCAAGUCAUCAUGGCCCUUACGACCAGGGCUACACACGUGCUACAAUGGCGCAUACAAAGAGAAGCGACCUCGCGAGAGCAAGCGGACCUCAUAAAGUGCGUCGUAGUCCGGAUUGGAGUCUGCAACUCGACUCCAUGAAGUCGGAAUCGCUAGUAAUCGUAGAUCAGAAUGCUACGGUGAAUACGUUCCCGGGCCUUGUACACACCGCCCGUCACACCAUGGGAGUGGGUUGCAAAAGAAGUAGGUAGCUUAACCUUCGGGAGGGCGCUUACCACUUUGUGAUUCAUGACUGGGGUGAAGUCGUAACAAGGUAAC